rnacentral:rRNA from 1 species
GUUAAGCGACUAAGCGUACACGGUGGAUGCCCUGGCAGUCAGAGGCGAUGAAGGACGUGCUAAUCUGCGAUAAGCGUCGGUAAGGUGAUAUGAACCGUUAUAACCGGCGAUUUCCGAAUGGGGAAACCCAGUGUGUUUCGACACACUAUCAUUAACUGAAUCCAUAGGUUAAUGAGGCGAACCGGGGGAACUGAAACAUCUAAGUACCCCGAGGAAAAGAAAUCAACCGAGAUUCCCCCAGUAGCGGCGAGCGAACGGGGAGCAGCCCAGAGCCUGAAUCAGUGUGUGUGUUAGUGGAAGCGUCUGGAAAGGCGCGCGAUACAGGGUGACAGCCCCGUACACAAAAAUGCACAUGCUGUGAGCUCGAUGAGUAGGGCGGGACACGUGGUAUCCUGUCUGAAUAUGGGGGGACCAUCCUCCAAGGCUAAAUACUCCUGACUGACCGAUAGUGAACCAGUACCGUGAGGGAAAGGCGAAAAGAACCCCGGCGAGGGGAGUGAAAAAGAACCUGAAACCGUGUACGUACAAGCAGUGGGAGCACGCUUAGGCGUGUGACUGCGUACCUUUUGUAUAAUGGGUCAGCGACUUAUAUUCUGUAGCAAGGUUAACCGAAUAGGGGAGCCGAAGGGAAACCGAGUCUUAACUGGGCGUUAAGUUGCAGGGUAUAGACCCGAAACCCGGUGAUCUAGCCAUGGGCAGGUUGAAGGUUGGGUAACACUAACUGGAGGACCGAACCGACUAAUGUUGAAAAAUUAGCGGAUGACUUGUGGCUGGGGGUGAAAGGCCAAUCAAACCGGGAGAUAGCUGGUUCUCCCCGAAAGCUAUUUAGGUAGCGCCUCGUGAAUUCAUCUCCGGGGGUAGAGCACUGUUUCGGCAAGGGGGUCAUCCCGACUUACCAACCCGAUGCAAACUGCGAAUACCGGAGAAUGUUAUCACGGGAGACACACGGCGGGUGCUAACGUCCGUCGUGAAGAGGGAAACAACCCAGACCGCCAGCUAAGGUCCCAAAGUCAUGGUUAAGUGGGAAACGAUGUGGGAAGGCCCAGACAGCCAGGAUGUUGGCUUAGAAGCAGCCAUCAUUUAAAGAAAGCGUAAU